CCCAGACUCCUACGGGAGGCAGCAGUGGGGGAUAUUGCACAAUGGGGGGAACCCUGAUGCAGCGACGCCGCGUGGGUGAAGGAAUGCUUCGGCAUGUAAAGCCCUAUCGGCAGGGAAGAAGCAAGACGGUACCUGACUAAGAAGCCCCGGCUAACUACGUGCCAGCAGCCGCGGGAAUACGUAGGGGGCAAGCGUUAUCCGGAUUUACUGGGUGUAAAGGGAGCGUAGACGGCAUGGCAAGCCAGAUGUGAAAUACCGGGGCUCAACCCCGGGACUGCAUUUGGAACUGUUAAGCUGGAGUGUCGGAGAGGCAGGCGGAAUUCCUAGUGUAGCGGUGAAAUGCGUAGAUAUUAGGAGGAACACCAGUGGCGAAGGCGGCCUGCUGGACGAUAACUGACGUUGAGGCUCGAAAGCGUGGGGAGCAAACAGGAUUAGAUACCCGCGUAACA
rnacentral:rRNA from 1 species